rnacentral:lncRNA from 1 species
GUACACGUGGCAAGUUGGUGCGUGGCUUGCUUUUCUUGUUAUGUCACCGUGGCAAAUUGCAAGAUUCGAUCCUAUGGUGGCUUCUUCGACGUCAUCCCCUUCAUCGUUUUCAUUUGUCGUGUGGGGGUGUUCACUUGGAGAAGCAUGAAGCCAUCCAAAGCAAUAAAUAAUUAGCAAUUCCGUCGCAGCCAACACUGGAGGAG